UAGUCCACGCCGUAAACGAUGAGAACUAGCCGUUGGACCCGUUGGGGUUUAGUGGCGCAGCUAACGCGUUAAGUUCUCCGCCUGGGGAGUACGGCCGCAAGGUUAAAACUCAAAUGAAUUGACGGGGGCCCGCACAAGCGGUGGAGCAUGUGGUUUAAUUCGAUGCAACGCGAAAAACCUUACCUACUCUUGACAUCCUCAGAACUUGUUAGAGAUAACUUGGUGCCUUCGGGAACUGAGUGACAGGUGCUGCAUGGCUGUCGUCAGCUCGUGUCGUGAGAUGUUGGGUUAAGUCCCGUAACGAGCGCAACCCCUAUCCCUAGUUGCUAGCGGUCCGGCCGAGGACUCUAGGGAGACUGCCGGUGACAAACCGGAGGAAGGCGGGGACGACGUCAAGUCAUCAUGGCCCUUACGAGUAGGGCUACACACGUGCUACAAUGGGCGGUACAGAGGGCUGCAAAGCAGUGAUGUGGAGCUAACCUCAGAAAGCCGUUCGAAGUCCGGAUUGGAGUCUGCAA
rnacentral:rRNA from 1 species